rnacentral:lncRNA from 1 species
UCUAUUCCUUAGAAAAAAUAUUAUGACAUUUUUUUUAUUAUGUUUUCAUUUACCAAAACUUCUUCAUGUGGAUGGAUAAAGAUCACAAUAAAUUUAAAAUAAAAUAUAUAAAUUAUACUCUAGGAGACCAGAAGAGACUAGGGAUAUAGAUUAAAAGCAAGAUUAACAUAGCUUCAAUUGAAAUUGGAAGCUUUAUAUUUUUAC